UAGGGAAUAUUGGACAAUGGGUGAGAGCCUGAUCCAGCCAUGCCGCGUGCAGGAAGAAGGCGUUAUGCGUUGUAAACUGCUUUUGCCAGGGGAUAAAAAAGCUCUGCGGAGCAAAUUGAAGGUACCUGGUGAAUAAGCCACGGCUAACUACGUGCCAGCAGCCGCGGUAAUACGUAGGUGGCAAGCGUUGUCCGGAUUUAUUGGGUUUAAAGGGUGCGUAGGCGGCCCACUAAGUCAGUGCUGAAAUAUCCCGGCUUAACCGGGAGGGUGGCAUUGAUACUGGUGGGCUUGAGUACAGAUGAAGUAGGCGGAAUUGACGGUGUAGCGGUGAAAUGCAUAGAUAUCGUCAAGAACACCGAUAGCGAAGGCAGCUUACUAAGCUGUAACUGACGCUGAGGCACGAAAGUGUGGGGAUCAAACAGGAUUAGAUACCCUGGUAGCCCACACUGUAAACGUUGAUGACUCGAUGUUGGCGAUACACAGCCAGCGUCCAAGAGCAAUCGUUAAGUCAUCCACCUGGGGAGUACGCCGGCAACGGUG
rnacentral:rRNA from 1 species